GUGCCGCGCAAUAGCGCCACAACAUAUGUAAUUUCACUGGACAUUACGGAAAUGAGGAAGGAACAAUAGGAGGAUGGAAGAAUGAAGGAGAGACCGAUAUGAGAGAUGAGAUGUCCUGCUCACUCACGCAUCACUUUUAGAGUGAUCAUCAGGUCCCGGGACACCAGCCUGAGCCUCCAUGUCAACAAUGAAAAAAAACUAGCUUAUUAUCAAUGCGUGUUAUCAAGUCGACAGGUGCAACGAAGGAGAGGAGGUGAAAAAUGGACUGAGAAGGCACGGACACACGGGAGAAAGCAGCAGAGAAAUCGGGAGAAAGCAGGGUUGGCAGCGGAGAUUCUGCGGAGAUUUUGUGGAGACUGUGGACUGGAGCGUUAUAUCUACUGAGGGGUUUGCGGCUGGACAAAGCAGCGACGGAGCGCAGGUCGACGGAAAGGAAGACAGAGCAACGAGAUGCGGAACUUGAUUCAACGCUUAUCUAAGCUAAGUAAAGGAAAGUUGUCUUGUCCAUAUGUAUUUGUGUGAGCAGGGCUCCGAACCGGUUCAAGGAACGAAAACGAAAACCAAAAACGAACAGAAUUUUACGAGGAGCGGAAACGGAAACGA